CCUACGGGAGGCAGCAGUGGGGAAUAUUGGACAAUGGGGGGAACCCUGAUCCAGCGACGCCGCGUGAGUGAAGAAGUAUUUCGGUAUGUAAAGCUCUAUCAGCAGGGAAGAAAGAAAUGACGGUACCUGACUAAGAAGCCCCGGCUAACUACGUGCCAGCAGCCGCGGUAAUACGUAGGGGGCAAGCGUUAUCCGGAUUUACUGGGUGUAAAGGGAGCGCAGGCGGUAUGGCAAGUCAGAUGUGAAAACCCAGGGCCCAACCCUGGGACUGCAUUUGAAACUGCCAUACUGGAGUGACGGAGAGGUAAGUGGAAUUCCUAGUGUAGCGGUGAAAUGCGUAGAUAUUAGGAGGAACACCAGUGGCGAAGGCGGCUUACUGGACGGUAACUGACGCUGAGGCUCGAAAGCGUGGGGAGCAAACAGGAUUAGAUACCCGGGUAGUC
rnacentral:rRNA from 1 species